rnacentral:rRNA from 1 species
GACGAAGGUGGCAAGCGUUAUUCGGAUUUACUGGGCAUAAAGCGCGCGUAGGCGGCUUGGCAAGUCGGGGGUGAAAGCCCGCAGCUCAACUGCGGAACUGCCUUCGAUACUGCCGGGCUUGAGGGCGGGAGGGGUGAUUGGAACUCCAGGUGUAGCGGUGAAAUGCGUAGAUAUCUGGAGGAACACCGGUGGCGAAGGCGGCAUCCUGGACCGGUAUUGACGCUGAGGCGCGAAAGCUAGGGGAGCAAACGGG